rnacentral:rRNA from 1 species
UACGGAGGGUGCAAGCGUUAUCCGGAUUCACUGGGUUUAAAGGGUGCGUAGGCGGGUAGGUAAGUCAGUGGUGAAAUCUCGAAGCUUAACUUCGAAACUGCCAUUGAUACUAUCUAUCUUGAAUAUUGUGGAGGUUUGCGGAAUAUGUCAUGUAGCGGUGAAAUGCUUAGAUAUGACAUAGAACACCUAUUGCGAAGGCAGCAGGCUACACAUAUAUUGACGCUGAGGCACGAAAGCGUGGGGAGCAAACAGG